GUGAGGAAUAUUGGACAAUGGGCGCAAGCCUGAUCCAGCCAUGCCGCGUGCAGGAAGACGCAUCUAUGGUGUGUAAACUGCUUUUGUACGGGAAGAAACACUCCCUCGUGAGGGAGCUUGACGGUACCGUAAGAAUAAGGAUCGGCUAACUCCGUGCCAGCAGCCGCGGUAAUACGGAGGAUCCAAGCGUUAUCUGGAAUCAUUGGGUUUACAGGGUCCGUAGGCGGUUUAAUAAGUCAGUGGUGAAAGCCCAUCGCUCAACGAUGGAACGGCCAUUGAUACUGUUAGACUUGAAUUACAAGGAAGUAACUAGAAUAUGUAGUGUAGCGGUGAAAUGCUUAGAUAUUACAUGGAAUACCAAUUGCGAAGGCAGGUUACUACUUGUGGAUUGACGCUGAUGGACGAAAGCGUGGGGAGCGAACAGGAUUAGAAACCUCGGUAGUCC
rnacentral:rRNA from 1 species